GGCUCCAGACCCCCAGGCACCUGGCCCGGAGCGCAGCCCCGCCCCAGAGCCUAACCGUGAGCAACGCAGGCUCCCGCGGAGGGCUCGCGCGGCGGCGCUCGCUCCCCGCCCGCCGCCUGGGAUCCGGACAGCGAGGCAGCUGGGGGCCUGUGCCCUGGUAGAGCCCGGAGGCUCUGCCAUAGGUGGAGGCCCAGGUUCAAGUCCCCGCCCAGACACUUAGCAGCUGCGCGCCUCGGGCAAGUUGCUCAACCUUCCUACCGAGUAGCCCCCAGGAAGCCCCGCCCUUAGGACUAGCACUCUGAAUUCCAGGGAAGCGGGGCUGAGAAGGAGGAAGGGGCUGGCGAGGAAGGCCCGGCGGGCGCGGGUGCGCUCCAGGACUCCACACCUCUGAGGGGCUGACGACAAGCCCACGAGGGCAGCAGCAGGACACAGACGCGGAGCCCGAGUCCAGUGCUGGUUUUGAAGGCGGAAAGCAGCGGGAGGUUCCUGGCCCAGCGAACCCAGUGGGUUGGCCCAGUGAAGUGCUCUAGUGGGAGGUCAGGGAAUCCAGCCCGCUCUUCCGGUGGAGACCUUGGACAGACAGUAUCACUUGAUGGAAUGUCAUUGCUCUCAAGCAUUUGAAGUUAUUUUAUUUGCUCGUGUUCUUGUUUAUCAUCUUCUCCCUGACCAGACGUAAGCUCCAUGAGGAAAGGGUCCUUGUGUGCCUUACUCAAGUUUGUGCUGCCAGGGCCUGGACCACUGCUGGACACAUAGGAGAAACGUCAACACUUACUAACUGAAUGAGUCUGCUGGCUCCUGGGGGAGACAGGUGUGUUUCCAGCCCUGAAGUAGCAGGUUUUGACAAGUGACCCAGGACUAAGCAGUCUGGGAGAAGAUGGUGGAGAUGGGUUCUCCUGGGGGAAGCUGGAAAAACCUAGAAGAAGAGAAAUAAUUUGAAUUGUGACGAGAACCGGUAGCACUUUUUGGGGAAAUUGGCAGAAGGGCUUCUGCUCGCAGAGGGAGGUGGAUGAACAAGGAUCUGGGGGAGGGGAAGGCCAGGCCUCUGGAUGGCGGGGGUAUCAGAGCUAGGUGUGUGGUGCUGGGGGCAUUGGAGGGCAACCUGAAAAUGUAGGUUGGGUAGAUCCUACGAAGGGUCUUGUUAGGGAUGAACUGAAUCCCUCCAAGUUUCACAUGUUGAAGUUCUAGUCCCUAGGACACCUUGGAAUGUGAUGAUAUUUGGAGAUAAGUCCUUUUAAAAAGAUUAAUUUAUGUUUUGUGUUUUUUAGGGGGAGUAAUUA